UCCCUGCUCCAGCCGCAGACCACUCAACAGGAGGAGAGGGCGGCCGUGACUAACUGGCCUGAAGCUCAGCGACCAUCAAGGCAGAAAUGCACAGGCGCCGCCGCUUGCCAUGCUGGUGGUGGGCAGCAAGGCCUCGGUAGCCCCACGUGGAGCCUCACGGCGCGUGGCCGGCCUGGAUGGCCCUGCAGCGGCACUCAGCGCGAGCGCACGGCUCAUGGCGCGGCCGUGGCCCACGGACAGCACGGAGGUCAGAUCCGUGUGCGGCCUUAAGCGGGCGCGAGCGGCACGGCCACGGCCCCGCAUAUGGCCCGUGCGCCUACGCUCGCUGCAUGGGGUCCGCGCGACGUGGAGGCUCGGCCCCGACGUGCGCAUCGACCACGACGCGGCCACGACCCCUGCGUGGAGGCUCGCGGAUGAGUGUCGGCGGCUCUCACAGGUCGCCUGAGAGGAGACGAUGGGUCUCAAAGACAUGCUGGGUCGAAACCCUAGCGAGAUAAGCAAUCACGUCCCCCCUUUUGGUCAUGUCCUCUCUGACUGUAGAUUGAGGUUGUGUUGUCUAGUUAAUUGUUGUUCUAGAUCUGGCAUCAUUGGUAUACUCGUGCAUACUUGUAAGUGCUCUACUGGUUAUGCCUCAGAGGCUUGUUAAUUUUUCAUUUACCCUACUAGAUUUGCAUGAUAAUUAGGAGGAAUUUUGGAUGGUAGGCAGCAUGUUCAGUUCAGGCUACAUUAGUCGUGUGCAGCAAAAUUUUAGAUAUAGAGGCUUAGGAGGAAAUGUGUUAUUAAAAUAUGCCUUAUCAGUCUACUGUGUGAUUGAUUGAACUUGAAACCUCAAAAAAAUAAGUUGUAGAUAAGCAUCAGGUUCUAUUUUACAAAUUUAUGUGCAAUGUUUUUCUGCUGCAAGAAUCUAAGUUCUGAAAACAACCCAUUAUUCUGUCAAAAUGGUGCUUAUUGUGGACUAUUCUAUUGUCUUAAUAGGUUUCAUACAAGUAUUUCUGAAUGAAUGCUUAUGGACUAUUCAUCAAGUAUUUCUGAAAACUGAAUGCAUAUAUUUCUGGACAAUGGACUGCCAUUGGUAUACAACAUGGCUGUGAACUGAACAUUGAGGUGCCAAUUUCAAAUUUGCAGUGUAGAAAUCAUGGCGAAGAAGAUUGCUACAAGUGACAUAACAUUUUCAUGAGCCAAGUGAAGCGUGCAUUCGUGCAGAAUAGCUUUCUGCUAGCAUUUUGUAAUUGUAGCACUUGUGUUAAGUUAUAGCUGAUGUUAGUUUCAUGUUUUGGAUGAUGGUAGAGAAUCUGAUACAUUUUUCCUAUGUAAUUGCUGUUAUCAUAUACUGUUAAGAUAUAUUUCUGCAAUGUC